rnacentral:rRNA from 1 species
AUACGGAGGGUGCGAGCGUUGUUCGGAAUUAGUUGGGCGUAAAGCGCGUGUAGGCGGUUUGUUAAGUCUGAUGUGAAAGCCCCGGGCUCAACCUGGGAAGUGCAUUGGAUACUGGCAGACUUGAAUACGGGAGAGGGCAGUGGAAUUCCUGGUGUAGGAGUGAAAUCCGUAGAUAUCAGGAGGAACACCGGUGGCGAAGGCGGCUGCCUGGACCGAUACUGACGCUGAGACGCGAAAGCGUGGGUAGC